UCUCCGUUGGUGAACCAGCGGAGGGAUCAUUACCGAGUUUACAACUCCCAAACCCCUAUGUGAACGUUACCAAACUGUUGCCUCGGCGGGAAAUUCAUGCCCCGGGCGCGUCGCCGCCCCGGACCAAGGCGCCCGCCGGAGGACCAACCAAAACUCUUUUGUAUGUCCCUCGCGGACUUUUAUAAUUCUGAACCAUCUCGGCGCCCCUAGCGGGCGUUUCGAAAAUGAAUCAAAACUUUCAACAACGGAUCUCUUGGUUCUG
rnacentral:misc_RNA from 1 species